rnacentral:rRNA from 1 species
GUCUAUGGCCCUACCACCUUGAACACAUUCAAUCUCCUCUGAUCUCAGGGGCUAAACCUGCUUAGGUCUGGUUAGUAUUAAUACUUAGAUGGGAGAUCAACUGGGAAUACCAGGUGCUGUAGGCU